CCAAAGUGCUGGGAUCACAGGAGUGAGCCACCGCGUCUGGCCUUAAUUAUUAUCGAGACCGGCUCUUGCUCUGUCACCUAGGCUGGAGCGCACUGGUAUAAUCAUGGCUCACUGCAGCCUCGAACCACCCACUGCCGCCAACCCUCCCCUUGGGCUCAAGCAAUCCUGCCACCUCAGCUUCUCAAGUUGCUGGGACUACAGGUGUACACAAUCACACCCGGCUUUUUCAUUUUUGUAUUUUUUUUGUAGAGAUGGGGUUUAGACAUAUUGCCCAGGCUGCUCUCGAACUUCUAGGCUCAAAUGAUACCUCUGGCUCCGCCUCUCAAAGUGUUGGGAUUACAGGCGUGAACCACUGUGCCUGGCCACCAGUACUUCUUACGUAAUACUUGCUGUAGAGAAUCUCUUUCUACUCAAGGGAAGAUGCUAAAACUGGUGUUCAUGCAAUUAAAGAUGACAUGAACAUAGACAUUCAGAAGCAACACUGUCAUCUUGAGAGCCACAUCAUUCCAGUGUCACAUUUCUAGAACCAAAAUAUGAGUCCGUGUGGGCUGCUAUAACGAAAUGCCUUAGUCUGGUUUAUAAAGUUUAUAAGCAAGAACUGUGAACAAUAAAUUUGUUACUAUAAAAAAACUUCUUGCUUAUAGUUCUGGAGGCUGGGAAGCCAAUCAGUGUGCUGGCAUAUUUGGUGUUUGUGGAGGGUCUGCUUUCUGGUUCAUGAACAGUGGCUUCUUGCUUUGUCCUCACGUGGUGGUUGGGGCAAGUCGGCUGUCUGGGGCCCCUUUUACGAGGGCAUUAAUCCCAUUCAUGAAGGCUCCACUCUCAUGACCUAAUCACCUCCCAAAGGCCCCACAUCCUGUCACACUGAUGAUCAGAUUUCAACAUAUGAAUUUUGUGGCCAGGGGGACACAAACAUUCAGACCACAGCACAAAGGUUAGGGACAACUUCUUAAGUAAUUGUGUGAUGCAGCAAACACAUGCAUAAAAAAAAAAUCAGAAAUAAUGAAAGUAAACAAGGGCAACAUUAUCUUAGGUUUGUCUCUGAAAACAUUCAGGACGCAUCACUGAGUAGUGCACAGUUUUAGUCUGUGAGCACGCUUCAGUGAAAUUAUAUCACCACUGACCACAAAAUCUUCAAAUCCCAGAGUUGAAGAAAACACUUUUAGUCAGUUACUAAUGGAGAAAAAAUAAAUAUAAUUUGGUUGCAACCUCGUAAGUUGCUUCCUGUUCUAUAAUUUAAAAUAACUAUCUUAAAUUAGUAGUUUAAUGAGUGAGCAAUUUAGCACCUGAUACUGCUGAGAAAUUAAUGACUCUGCACUGCAUUAAAUUUAAAAAAUGAGCUUUAAUAAAAUUACAGUAAAUUUUAAAUAUGAUUUCCUACUUAUUCAUGGAUUCUAGAAGCUUAUUUUAUGAUGGUAAUCUUCAGUUUAGGUCUUGGUGAAAUAAUUUCAAGCCUUAGCCAUUGGCAUUUGGUCAGUAUGUGUAUGUAGUGUACUAUGAAUGUGACUCAGCCAUAUACUACAACUGAGACAAGGCAAUCACCAAGGUCACAUACCUAGUACAACCCCAUCUCCAGGCCACCCAUUUACCAAGUUUGUGGCCCUCAUGUAAGAGGUGACCAAGAUGCACCUGCACCAAGAGCACCAAGAGGAUUGUCUCAAUCCUUAAGAGAAAGAAGAAGGUAAGGGCUGGGGAUGAGGGGUGCACUUAAACCAGAAAUGAGACAUGGCCCUCUGUGGCUAGGAUCCUAACUUCAGAUUGCUAAUUUAUCCCAUUUUACUUAGGCCCAAAAUGACAGGCUGAAUACUUUUAUUGGAAAUGAAACAUUCCAGAGUUAGACAUGUUUACUCUGGACAGUCAAGGACAGCGAUGUGUAGGGAAAGUUUGGUUCAUGCAAAAAUGAAUGAAAUUUUAAUACACUUAAAGUUACUUCUCACUCUGAAAAUAAUACCAAAGUAGAGUCAAUAAAUAUUAAAUUUCCUUCCAAUUCCACAGGACCAAUUAACGAAAAACAUAAUUUUUGUACUACAGAAUAAAAAUUUUAAAAUCUCAAAUAUUUUUUCCCAAAGGCAGAGGUCAUGGCAAAUCUUCGGAGAAAGAGAGCAUUUUGUCUAUUUGAAAAUUCAGGCUCAGGCCUUCAAAUGAAAUGAUGGUUCAUGCUGUCAUUUCAAGUGACUACAAAGAAGAAAUGAAAGAAAGAUGUAAGGAGUCACUACUUUAAGGAUUAUUCACAAAAGUCUUAGGAAUAAUACAGGUGAAGUCUCAGAAAGGCAAGUCCUUAUAACAGAAUGGGCAUGGAUCAUGUACUAAUCAGUAGGUUACAAUUCACUACCUUACAGAAUUUGGGCUUCAUUUAGAAGGCCUGAUGGUGUACAACAGACUUUACAUUUUCACAUUAAUGCAAGAGCCUAUCAGUGAAUUCAUGUUCAUUUCCUUUAUUAACCAGCCUACAUUAGAUUUAAUUUGUGAACUCUGCUAUAUAAGCAAAGAAGAAAGCAAGCAAGCACAUGAUCAGAAGAGAAAAAGAGCUAGAUAGCCCAUAAGGCUCCUAGAGGGAACUUGAGCACUCCUCAUGACAGAGACACAGAUGACACACUUCUAACUUCUCAAACAUGCCAAGUUUGUGCUUGCCUUCUGGGUCUUUGCCUUUAUUAUUCCUCCCCUCAGCCCACUUGUGGUUCCUUCUAAUCCUUCACGUACCAGCUCAAAUGUUUUCUCUUACACAGAUGACACUUUCUUCUAACACUUUCUUCUAAAGUAGUUUCACCACUGCCUCCCCACAUUAUCCUGUAUACUUUCCAGUCACCAUCAGAAGUUUGCUCAUGGCUGGGCGUGGUGGCUCAUGCCUGUAAUCCCAGCACUUUGGGAGGCUGAGGUGCUCACAGCAACCUCCUCCUUCCGGGUUCAAACAAUUCUUCCACCUCAGCCUCCCAUGUAGCCAGGAUGAUAGGUGUGCACCAUCAUACCUGGGUAAUUUUUGUAUUUUUAGUAGUGUCAGGGUUUUGCCAUGUUGGCCAGGCUGGUGUUGAACUCCUGACCUCAAGUGAUCCAUCCGCCUUGGCCUCCCAAAGUGCUGAAAUAGGCGUGUGCCACUACGCCUGGCCAUGAAAUUGUUAA
rnacentral:lncRNA from 10 species